UACGUAGGGGGCGAGCGUUGUCCGGAUUUAUUGGGCGUAAAGAGCUCGUAGGCGGUUUGUCGCGUCUGCCGUGAAAGUCCGGAGCUCAACUCCGGAUCUGCCGUGCCGACUGUCAAACUCGAGGGCUGUAGAGGCAGACGGAAUUCCGGGUGUAGCGGUGGAAUGCGUAGAGAUCCGGAGGAAGACCGGUGGCGAAGGCGGUCUGCUGGGCAGUUUCUGACACUGAGGCGCGACAGCGUGGGGGAGCAAACAGG
rnacentral:rRNA from 1 species